GGACAAGAAUAGGCCUCGGCUUAGCGUCUUAGCAGGCGAUUCUUCCACGGCGCUCGAAGCGCGUCGUGGUAUUUCGCGUAUUGUAAUUUUAACACGAGCGGGGUCAAAUCCUUUGCAGACGACUUAGCUGUGCGAAACGGUCCUGUAAGCAGUAGAGUAGCCUUGUUGUUACGAUCUGCUGAGGGUAAGCCGUCCUUCGCCUCGAUUUCCCCAAUGA
rnacentral:rRNA from 1 species